rnacentral:rRNA from 1 species
UACGGGGGGAGCAAGCGUUGUUCGGAUUUACUGGGCGUAAAGGGCGCGUAGGCGGUCAGCACAAGUCAGUUGUGAAAUCUCCGGGCUUAACUCGGAAAGGUCAACUGAUACUGUGCGACUAGAGUUCGGAAGAGGCGAGUGGAAUUCCCGGUGUAGCGGUGAAAUGCGCAGAUAUCGGGAGGAACACCUAUGGCGAAGGCAGCUCGCUGGGACGUUACUGACGCUGAGACGCGAAAGCGUGGGGAGCAAACAGG